GACGAACGCUGGCGGCGUGCUUAACACAUGCAAGUCGAACGGAAAGGCCCUGCUUUUGUGGGGUGCUCGAGUGGCGAACGGGUGAGUAACACGUGAGUAACCUGCCCUUGACUUUGGGAUAACUUCAGGAAACUGGGGCUCAUACCGGAUAGGAGCUCCUGCUGCAUGGUGGGGGUUGGAAAGAUUCGGCUGUUGGGGAUGGACUCGCGGGUUAUCAGCUUGUUGGUGGGGUAGUGGCUUACCAAGGCUUUGACGGGUAGCCCGCAUGAGAGGGUGACCGGCCACAUUGGGACUGAGAUACGGCGCAGACUCCAACGGGAGGCAGCAGGGGGGAAUAUUGCACAGUGGGCGGGAGCCUGAUGCAGCGACGCCGCGUGCGUGAUGACGUCUUUCGGGUUGUAAACAGCUGUGGCCUGUGACGAAGCGUGAUUGACGGUAAUGAGUAAAGAAGCACCGGCUAACUACGUG
rnacentral:rRNA from 1 species